AAAUGAAUUGAGGGGGAGCACCACAACGGGUGGAGCUUGCGGUUUAAUUGGAUUCAACGCCGGAAAUCUUACCGGGACCGACAGCAAUAUGAAGGCCAGGCUGAAGACUUUGCCGGAUUAGCUGAGAGGUGGUGCAUGGCCGUCGUCAGUUCGUACUGUGAAGCAUCCUGUUAAGUCAGGCAACGAGCGAGACCCACGCCCACAGUUGCCAGCGUACUCUCUGGAGUGACGGGUACACUGUGGGACCGCCGCUGCUAAAGCGGAGGAAGGAAUGGGCAACGGUAGGUCAGUAUGCCCCGAAUAUCCCGGGCUACACGCGAGCUACAAUGGUUGGUACAAUGGGUAUCUACCCCGAAAGGGGACGGGAAUCUCCUAAAACCAAUCUUAGUUCGGAUUGAGGGCUGCAACUCGCCCUCAUGAAGCUGGAAUCCGUAGUAAUCGCGUUUCAACAGAACGCGGUGAAUACGUCCCUGCUCCUU
rnacentral:rRNA from 1 species